CUACGGAGGGUGCAAGCGUUAUUCGGAAUCACUGGGCGUAAAGGACGCGUAGGCGGGUUGGCAAGUCAGAUGUGAAAUCCUACAGCUUAACUGUAGAACUGCAUUUGAAACUGCUAACCUAGAGUAUGGGAGGGGGAGAUGGAAUUAGUGGUGUAGGGGUAAAAUCCGUAGAUAUCACUAGGAAUACCGAAAGCGAAGGCGAUCUCCUGGAACAUAACUGACGCUAAGGCGUGAAAGCGUGGGGAGCAAACAGGAUUAGAUACCCGGGUAGUCC
rnacentral:rRNA from 1 species